CCCCCCCCCCCCAUACGUCCUAUACAGCUUACCUAUUUGCUUUCUCCCCACAGCAUUAUGGACCGUCCAAGACGGUGGGGUUUGGUUUUGCUGUUUUACCCCAGCCCCUAGGAGAGUGCCUAGUACAUAGUAGGCCCUCAGUAAAUAUUUAAUUGGAUGGGUGGAUUCUCGGCGCCUUUCUAAAAGAGAGCUUUUUAAAAGAGACAUGAUGUGACUAUUAUAGUUAGUUCUACACUUAAAUGUCUUUUCUCCCCUGCUAGGGGAGCUCUGGGUGAAACCCGCCCAGCUCCGGGAUCCCGGAGUCCCGACGCGGCCAGGAUAAGAGGGGGCAGAAGGCGUGCAGGCGCCUGUUAACGGGACUCGGAAGGUCGGCGGGGCCCUCGGGCCUACACGCAGUCAGCCUGGGGAGGGGACGGGAGAUAACGACCGGCCGCGGGGCCACACAGACGGGCAGUUGGACACAGGGGUGAAAACAACCCGAGGCGUCUACACCCGCCUCCACCCCCCAAAGCGAGGGCGGGGCCCGCACGCCCCCGGGAUUCCGACCUUGAGGGCGGGGCCGGGGUCUGGCACCCUCGGACAGGGGAGGAAGGUCAGAGCCAGGGAGGACAGCGGCCUCACGCUCGGGCCAGACCGACGGGUGGUGGCAUCCGAGUCGCCUCCGGCCCUCCUCCCCGCCCCCUGCAUAGGGAUAUCUAGUCUAGCCGCUGCGCCUGUAGGCCCUCACCUUUGGCCUUGGCAACGGAGACCCCCCGCCCCGAGCCGGUGGUACGACCUCCUCACGCCCCCCCACCCCGCUAGAGCGAUUGGUAGGGCCCACGUGCGUGACGCACAAUGGGCAGUUGGUACGCGCCGGCCGCGCACCCCGCGCCCGGUAGGGGGCGCCUGGCACCGCCCGCCCGGCGGGGCCCCCGCUACCCUCGCGGCUCCGGCGUCCAGGAGGAUACAGCAUGAGCAGUCGCAGCUCCCGCUCUUUCUGCUUCAUCUUCUUCAGAAUGGAACCCAGACUCGGCCAGGAACGGAAACCUGGAUUGUAUCUUGGCUGCACAGGGGGUAGGAGUUGUGACUCAGGAGUCGGAAUCGACAGCCCCAAGGAUGUUGACAAGCUCGUCCGGGGGCCAGUGUAAGGCCCUGUUCCCCGGAAACAUGAUCCAGGUCCUGCUCAUCUUAGGUCUCGGCAUCAUUCUAAACCUGCCAGUUACAGGGCCUCCCCUUUUCCCCGUCUCCUGGACUCGCAGAGGGUGGGCCGGGGAUUCUUCGUCGCGGGCGCAAAUGCCCCCUAGGGGCCGUUUCGAAAUGUGCUGGAGCAUUUUGGGCUUGUCCCAAUUACAAGAUAGAGUUCCUGUUUAGAUGACACAAAGAGUUGUUCUGCCUAGGAUGCCCAUCAUUUCUCGUUUGAGAAGCACUGGUCUUCAUUUUGCCAGUGAGAAUAUUGAGACGCACACGAUGGUUAGCACAAUGACUGGUGUAUGGUAGUUACUCAAUAAAUAUUUGUUAUUGAAUGAA